GUGAAUCAUCAAAUCUUUGAACGCAAAUUGCACUCUCCUCGGAGAGUAUGCCUGUUUGAGGGUCAGCCUAUAAAAAAUCGUCAUUGUUGUUGUUUCGCGGUGGCGCUCGUCGGAAAUUGGGCCAUCUUAUAUCUUUUGGUUUUAAGCGAUUUAAAAUUUUAUUUUUGGUUUCAUGAACGUUUCUAAGAUUUAUUUCUUUACAUGUUUAAGGUAUCGAUUUUUAUUAGACGUGACCAUCAUAUCGGAUAGCGCCUAUAAUCCUUCAUUAACUGACCUCAGACAGGUAAG
rnacentral:misc_RNA from 1 species